CCGCACCACUCAUCCUCUCGUCCCCCCCUCUCCUACGCACCCAUAGCUGCCGCCCUAUCCCUCCCUUAGAUCUCGAUCCACCGCUGCCCCCAAACCCACCCCCCGUCGACGACCCUCACCGUAGACGUGGUGCUGUGGCGCCAAGGCCGGGCCGACCUAAGCGCCUUACUCCUAGCGACUGCCGUCGCCGCGGCCAGGAGAGUCUCGCUCCGCGAGGCCGCACUCGCGACCUGCUACCCCGCGCGCGCGCCAACUCCAGUAGUUGGCUCGCUCGCUUGCUGUUGUAGGUGAGUGCUGGUGGAGCUUGAAUCGGGGAGGAGGAAGGCUGCAGAUCCGGCGGGCGAGGAGGCAAGCCGUGGGUUGCAAGAAGGCGGUGGUGGUGUGCGCGCUCAUCGGCUUCCUCGGCGUCCUCUUCGUCGUGCUUGGCUUCGCCGCCAAGGGCACCCGCGUCAAGUUGAAUUUUCAGGCGAUUCCGACAUCAUCAACGCAACACCAGCUGUACAAAGUAACUAAAAAUUCCCAGGUUGUACCCUGUUCAAACUAUGCUACAUAUCAGCACAUGCUAAUUGUUAAUGUGCAUGCUCAACCAGAAAUUAGAAUUGCCUCUGUAAGAUGUUGUUUGCCAGUCGUCCAACAGCAACUUGGUUCUGAUUAUCUUCUUAGUGAUGUUGUCUUGUUCUUUUUCUGAAGUAGUACUGCUUUAUCCAAGCCUGGAUCUCCUCUAUACUGUAGUCCUGCCAUGCAAUCUGAUCCUGACACAAAACAUUACUCUGUCUAACCCAUGUUUGAUUUAUAACAUAGUAAUAUUGUGUAGCUUGAUUAUUUGUAAAAUGGCGGCAAAUGCUGCUGCAAAGAUAUUAGUGGUAUAUGUGCAUGCAUUUGACAAUAUGAUAUCACAUGUGUGUUUGAACAUUAACCAUAUAGAUUAUGGUACUGUUAAUUUUGUGCACUUGAAUGAGUGCUUGGUGUUGAUAUUUUCUUAAAUGAGCAUUAUUUUGUCUUAUAAUAGAUUGAUUUGCACUGUUUUGGUUAAUCAUAGUCCCACAACCAUAUGUGAUUUGAUUGACUGAGAUGUUGCAGUAGACUUUGUUGCUAGCUAUUUAAGAUCACUUAAGAUAUUAUAUAAACAUCAUGUUGUGAUAGUGGUGGUCAUCGUGUUAAAUAAAUUGUAACACUGGUAGUCUAGCAGAAAUUUUGAUCAAAUUGGAACUUUCAUAUGCUUAUAAAGCUUUCCUAUGAACAUUCAUAGGGAUUUUAGCAUGGCUGUUGUUGGCCCUUUGUAUUAAUAUGUAAUUAGUGUAUGUACAAACUGAAUGUUAAAUUGACAAGGAUUUCUGAUGGCGGUGGUGCACAUCCCGCGCCAAUUCAAGGUGUCGGACUGUUUCCUGAACAGGAAGAAGGACUACAAGGACGGGACGUUCUCCUAGGUCGUCUCCAAUGCCAUCGAUAUGAAGCUCAGGGAUGACCUUGAGAGGCUCAAGAAGAUCAGGGAGCUCUGCAUCCGAGUCUCAUCCAUCCUCGGCAGGAAGGAGCUGGGCCAAGGGAGCAAGCAGCACUUCUGGUUACUUGGGGCCAGAUCGAGUAAGAUGGCGCACCAUGGCGUGUGGCGGCCUAUUUUGCUUCCAAGAGCAGUACUGUUUAUUUGAAAUGAGAUGUACUCGUAUACUGCCUAGUAAAAUUGAAUGAUUGCCAUGUACUAUCUAUGAUGUAGUGAGCUGUAGGAGUGAAAUGAAAUUUUAUUUGUUGUUGUAUGUGUUAUUUUCCUGUAAUGUGCUGUGUACAUUUUACUUGAAUAUUAAAUUCUCCAGGAAAUGUUCUUACUGGACCUGAUA